GGAGGGAUGGCAGAGUCCGGUUGAUUGCACUGGUCUUGAAAACCAGCGUGCCUACGGGUACCGGGGGUUCGAAUCCCUCUCCCUCCGCCA
rnacentral:tRNA from 1 species